rnacentral:rRNA from 1 species
UUUUUAUGAGAGUUUGAUCCUGGCUCAGGACGAACGCUGGCGGCGUGCCUAAUACAUGCAAGUAGAACGCUGAAGUCUGGUGCUUGCACUAGACGGAUGAGUUGCGAACGGGUGAGUAACGCGUAGGUAACCUGCCUCAUAGCGGGGGAUAACUAUUGGAAACGAUAGCUAAUACCGCAUAACAGUAUUUACCGCAUGGUAGAUAUUUGAAAGGAGCAAUUGCUUCACUAUGAGAUGGACCUGCGUUGUAUUAGCUAGUUGGUGAGGUAACGGCUCACCAAGGCUUCGAUACAUAGCCGACCUGAGAGGGUGAUCGGCCACACUGGGACUGAGACACGGCCCAGACUCCUACGGGAGGCAGCAGUAGGGAAUCUUCGGCAAUGGGGGCAACCCUGACCGAGCAACGCCGCGUGAGUGAAGAAGGUUUUCGGAUCGUAAAGC